rnacentral:rRNA from 1 species
CAGCACCUCAAGUGGUCAGGAUGAUUAUUGGGCCUAAAGCAUCCGUAGCCGGCUCUGUAAGUUUUCGGUUAAAUCUGUACGCUUAACGUACAGGCUGCCGGGAAUACUGCAGAGCUAGGGAGUGGGAGAGGUAGACGGUACUCGGUAGGAAGGGGUAAAAUCCUUUGAUCUAUUGAUGACCACCUGUGGCGAAGGCGGUCUACCAGAACACGUCCGACGGUGAGGGAUGAAAGCUGGGGGAGCAAACCGGAUUAGAGACCCGUGUAGUCC